UUGGGAAUCUUGGACAAUGGGGGAAACCCUGAUCCAGCCAUGCCGCGUGAGUGAUGAAGGCCUUCGGGUUGUAAAACUCUUUCGGCGGGGACGAUAAUGACGGUACCCGCAGAAGAAGCUCCGGCUAACUUCGUGCCAGCAGCCGCGGUAAUACGAAGGGGGCUAGCGUUGUUCGGAAUUACUGGGCGUAAAGUGCGCGCAGGCGGCUAUCCAAGUCAGUGGUGAAAGCCCGGAGCUCAACUCCGGAACUGCCAUUGAAACUGUUUAGCUUGAGGACGAGAGAGGUGAGUGGAAUUCCCAGUGUAGAGGUGAAAUUCGUAGAUAUUGGGAAGAACACCGGUGGCGAAGGCGGCUCACUGGCUCGUUUCUGACGCUCAGGCGCGAUAGCGUGGGGAUCAAACA
rnacentral:rRNA from 1 species